CCGUUAGCCGGGUUUAUCAAAAGUUAAUAAAGAUUAAGGCCUCUAGGCAAAGUAAAUGUCUAAAUUAUAUUUUUAUCUAGAGGGCUUAGUAAUCGAUUAUUCAAAGUUUUUAGAAAACAGGGGGUAGACGUCCUUUAUUUUUAAGGUUAUUUAAAAUAGGUAUUAAAAAUAAUAUUUCUAAACCUAAACAAAAUGGCAGUGACUUAUCCCAGGCAGAGAGGCUUGAGCCAUAAUUAGACAGUCCUCUUUUUACCUUACUAAUAUUUAUUUUUUGUGUGGCUGUUUUAAAACCGGGGCAGUCCUAAUUUAAGUUCAAGUUUUAUGAAAAAACAUAUUAGGGUGUUUUAGCCACAUUGACAGUAUUACUACAAGGAAUCAGAGAUAGUGUAUUGAAUUUGCGAGUAGGCCUGUUUCAAUAGAGCAGGGCGAAGAGGUUAUAAGCCAAGUACAUAUUGUCCGUCACUCUCUUCUUA
rnacentral:rRNA from 1 species